rnacentral:rRNA from 1 species
AGCAGCCGCGGUAAUUCCAGCUCCAAUAGCGUAUAUUAAAGUUGUUGCAGUUAAAAAGCUCGUAGUUGAAUUUCGGGGUUAGUAGGUUGGUCAUGCCUCUGGUAUGUACUGGUCUCACUGAUUCCUCCUUCCUGAUGAACCGUAAUGCCAUUAAUUUGGUGUUGCGGGGAAUUUGGACUGUUACUUUGAAAAAAUUAGAGUGUUUAAAGCAAGCUAACGCUUGAAUACAUUAGCAUGGAAUAAUGAAAUAGGACGUUCGAUCCUAUUUUGUUGGUUUCUAGGAUUGACGUAAUGAUUAAUAGGGAUAGUUGGGGGCAUUAGUAUUCAAUUGUCAGAGGUGAAAUUCUUGGAUUUAUUGAAGACUAACUACUGCGAAAGCAUUUGCCAAGGAUGUUUUCAUUAAUCAAGAACGAAAGUUAGGGGAUCGAAGACGAUCAGAUACCGUCGUAGUCUUAACCAUAAACUAUGCCGACUAGGGAUCGGAUGA